GUGACAUAAAAGACCAACUUGAAUCUUGCUUGGACUUACCAAGACUCCUCAGUUCACUUCUCAAAAUGAGGUUCCCUGCUCAGCUCUUUGUACUGCUAAUGCUUUGGUUUCCUGGAUCCAGCGGGGAAAUUGUGAUGACACAGACCCCACUGUCCCUGCCCAUCACCCCUGGAGAGCCGGCCUCCAUCUCCUGCAAGGCCAGUCAGACCCUCCUGUACAGUAAUGGAAAAACCUAUUUGCAUUGGUACCUGCAGAAGCCAGGCCAGUCCCCACAGCUCCUGAUCUACGAGGUUUCCAACCAUUUCUCUGGGGUCUCAGACAGGUUCAGUGACAGUGGGUCAGGGACAGAUUUCAGCCUGAGAAUCAGCAGGGUGGAGGCUGACGAUGUGGGAGUUUAUUACUGUGGGCAAAGUACAGAUUUUCCGAACAGUGUUUGUUGAAGAGAGGCCCCCAUUGUGUACUCUUGUGUCCUUUGUCAUAGAUUAAUUGAUUAUAUAAACAUAGGUUUAUUUCUGGACUCUCUGUUCUGUUCUACUGACCUUUAUGUCUAUUUCAAUGCCAAUACCAUAUUGUUUGGGUUACUCUAACUUCAUAGUACAGUUUUCAGUCUAAGAUUGUGAUACUUCCAGCUUUGCUCUUCUUUCUCAAGUCUGCUGUGGUUACUCAGGGUCUACCUUUUAAAAUACAAGUGUAAAAUGUGCCUAGAAACAGCUGAAGAUUUAGAAAUCUAGCAGGAAAAUGGAAGGAACACUUAAAUAUGUCCCUCUAACCACUCAGGCAGCAUAGAUUGCAUCUCAUUUAGUUUUGCUUCAAGCAAAGACAGUCUGUAAUGUCACUCUGCUCACAUGAGAGGUCAUAUGCUUCUCCAGCUGGCUCUUUCCAUUUGGUUGCACCUACAGGGGAUUUGCAUGUUGU